AAAUCAUUUCUCCUAUUUUUUAAUAUAUUUGAAAUUUAGUGAAUAUGAUUCAAUAACCCUAUAAAGAGUAAAUUUCUAAUUUUGAAUCAUGAGUAAUGACCUAAAUAUAUAUCAUACAAUCAAACUAAUUGGAAACAGAGACUUUGGCUCAGGAUGUUAGAGCUUUUUCGCUUGAUCAUCUUUCUUAUGUUGUUAAUUUCAUCCCUAGAUCAGUUGAUCGAGCGCUAACUGGGUUGCCAAUAUAGCUAGACUUAGGAGUCUCUCUCAAGUGAAAUUUUAAAAUAUAAUCAUUGCAAAU
rnacentral:misc_RNA from 1 species